rnacentral:snRNA from 1 species
GUGCUCGCUUCCGCAGCACAUAUACUAAAAUUGGAACAAUACAGAGAACAUUAGCAUGGCCCCUGCGCAAGGAUGACACAAAUUUUUUAAUUAAAAAACCCCCAACUAUU